rnacentral:lncRNA from 1 species
CAGUGUGUGCUGGCCUGCACAGACCGAGGAGCAGAGAUCAAACAGGCGGCUGUAAGGACAGACAGUAAACGGAGGACGAGCUGGCCUCUGGAUCCCGCUGCCUCCCCUUUCUCCCUGCUGCCUGUGUCCGGAGGAUGAGCCCAGCCUUCAGGACCAUGGACGUAGAGCCCCGUACCAAGGGCAUCCUGCUGGAGCCCUUUGUCCACCAGGUUGGGGGGCACUCAUGCGUUCUCCGGUUCAAUGAGACAACCCUGUGCAAGCCCCUGGUUCCGAGGGAGCAUCAGUUCUACGAGACCCUCCCAGCUGAGAUGCGCAGAUUCACUCCCCAGUACAAAGGUGAGCCCCCGGCUGCUAGAGGGGUCGCCAGGCUGGUGAGAUGUAAGGGAUUUUGCCAGUGGAAGGCCCUGGCAGCGUCCUGGGAGCCCUCCCUCUUCCCAUUUACCCUUUUGUUUUCCUCCUCCUCCUCUUGGCCCUCAGCCCAGCACCUCACCCUCAGUUUUCAAGCCCUGGUAAGAUUGCUCAAUUGUUUUGUUUUCUGGGUUUGCUUUGAGAUUGUUUUUGGUAGAAGUAUAGUUAUUUUUUAUGUUCAGGUGUCUCUUGCUCAAGGUAACCCAUAACCCCAUAUGGGGCAGUUCGGGAAGACUUUAGGAGGAUUGUACACAGAAUUCUUGCUGCCUGCUUUUUGUCCUCCAGAAAACCAGAAGCCCUGGAGAUUAGGUAGGCUGGGAGCAGGGUUGAGGCAGAUGGAACGCAGGAGUGGGAGGAUUGUACAAGCAACUCAAGCCUUUUGCUGUUACGGAAUGUCCCCAAAACUGCUGUGAGAAGGCAACGCUUUGAUUCACAUGUAGUGACUUUUUCUCGUUUUAUAAUUGUACUCUGAAGAAACAUCAGCCACCAG